GACGAACGCUGGCGGCGUGCUUAACACAUGCAAGUCGAACGGAAAGGCCCCUUUGGGGGUCCUCGAGUGGCGAACGGGUGAGUAACACGUGAGUAACCUGCCCUUGACUUCGGGAUAACUUCAGGAAACUGGGGCUAAUACCGGAUAGGAAUCCUUGCUGCAUGGUGGGGGUUGGAAAGCUUCGGCGGUUUUGGAUGGACUCGCGGCUUAUCAGCUUGUUGGUGGGGUAGUGGCUUACCAAGGCUUUGACGGGUAGCCGGCCUGAGAAGGCGACCGGCCACAUUGGGACUGAGAUACGGCCCAGACUCCUACGGGAGGCAGCAGUGGGGAAUAUUGCACAAUGGGCGGAAGCCUGAUGCAGCAACGCCGCGUGCGGGAUGACGGCCUUCGGGUUGUAAACCGCUUUCAGCAGGGGCGAAGCUUGUGGUGACGGUACCUGCAGAAGAAGCACCGGCUAACUACGUG
rnacentral:rRNA from 1 species